rnacentral:rRNA from 1 species
GUGAGGAAUAUUGGUCAAUGGGCGGGAGCCUGAACCAGCCAAGUCGCGUGAAGGAAGAAGGAUCUAUGGUUCGUAAACUUCUUUUGCAGGGGAAUAAAGUGCAGGACGUGUCCUGUUUUGUAUGUACCCUGAGAAUAAGGAUCGGCUAACUCCGUGCCAGCAGCCGCGGUAAUACGGAGGAUCCGAGCGUUAUCCGGAUUUAUUGGGUUUAAAGGGUGCGUAGGUGGUUUGAUAAGUCAGCGGUGAAAGUUUGCAGCUUAACUGUAAAAAUGCCGUUGAAACUGUCGGACUUGAGUGUAAAUGAGGUAGGCGGAAUGCGUGGUGUAGCGGUGAAAUGCACAGAUAUCACGCAGAACUCCGAUUGCGAAGGCAGCUUACUAAGCUACAACUGACACUGAAGCACGAAAGCGUGGGGAUCAAACAGGAUUAGAAACCCCUGUAGUCC